UUCUUAAUUUUAGAAAUUGUUUUUUCUAUAAUUUGGAAGAUUCAAAGGGAAAUUAAAUUUUAAGACAAUGCUGUUCCCGCAACCGUAAGCUAUCACUGAUUUAGGUUUUUUGUAUAAACUCAAUGCCACUGAUUUUUGGGAAGGCGAAUAGAAAAAAGCAAGCUAGGAGAUAUGCCAAUAAGUAUUUACGAUU
rnacentral:ncRNA from 2 species